AGAAGACACAUGCACAUUUGUGGUAUGCUGGAGGUAAUUUUGCAGGGCUCUGGUAGUGCUCCUCCUGUUCCUCCUUGUACAAACGCAGAGGUAGCGGUCCUGCUGCUGGGUUGUUGCCCUCCUACGGCCUCCUCCACGUCUCCUGAUGUACUGGCUUGUCUCCUGGUAGCGCCUCCAUGCUCUGAACACUACGCUGACACACACAGCAAACCUUGCCACAGCUCGCAUUGAUGUGCCAUCCUGGAUGAGCUGCACUACCUGAGCCACUUGUGUGGGUUGUAGACUGCGUCUCAUGCUACCACUAGAGUGAAAGCACCACCAGCAUUCAAAAGUGACCAAAAUAUCAGCCAGGAAGCAUAGGAACUGAGAAGUGGUCUGCAGAACCACUCCUUUAUUGGGGGUGUCUUGCUAAUUGCCUAUAAUUUCCACCUGUUCACAACAGCAUGUGAAAUUGAUUGUCACGCAGUGUUGCUUCCUAAGUGGACA